rnacentral:miRNA from 1 species
GAAAUAUAUGUAUAUAUAUAUAUGUAUACACACAUGCCAUAUGUAUACAUAUAUAUAUAUAUACAUAUGUAUAUACAUGUCU